AAAAAAAAAAAAAAAAAAAAAAGAGGAUAAAAAAAAAAGACAUGCAUUCGGUGAUAUAUUUUCUACAAAAUAGAAUAAAUGGUUAUACACAAAGAACAAACACAAAACCAACUAUCAGGAAGACAGAAAAACUAAAUGCAAUUUAUUUUGGCAUAGGUCAGUUUCGAAGGAUGGACUCAAGUUAAAAGCCCCGCGUGUUUAAAAAAAGUUGCUGAAACUAACUUUGCAAGAAGCCACUUAUGU
rnacentral:lncRNA from 1 species